GAUGCACGCUGACAGAAUGCUUAACACAUGCAAGUCAACUGUGGCGGACGGGUGAGUAACGCGUAAAGAACUUGCCUCACAGAUAGGGACAACAUUUGGAAACGCAUGCUAAUACCUGCUACUGUGAGAGAGCUUUGCGUCCCAUUAGCUAUUUGGGGAGGUAACGGCUCACCAAGGCGAGGAUGGGGAGCCGGCCUGAGAGGGUGAUCGGCCACAAGUGGACUGAGACACGGGCCGUACUGCGACGGGAGGCAGCAGGGGGGAAUAUUGGACAAUGGACCAAAGUCUGAUCCAGCAAUUCGGUGUGCACGAUGAAGUUUUCGGAAUGUAAAGUGCUUUCAGUUGGGAAGCGGUACCAACAGAAGAAGUGACGGCUAAAUACGUGCCAGCAGCCGCGGUAAUAC
rnacentral:rRNA from 1 species